GAUGAAGAACGCAGCGAAAUGCGAUAAGUAAUGUGAAUUGCAGAAUUCAGUGAAUCAUCGAAUCUUUGAACGCACAUUGCGCCCGCCAGUAUUCUGGCGGGCAUGCCUGUUCGAGCGUCAUUUCAACCAUCAAGCCCCCGGGCUUGUGUUGGGGACCUGCGGCUGCCCGCAGGCCCUGAAAACCAGUGGCGGGCUCGCUGUCACACCGAGCGUAGUAGCAUCAUCUCGCUCAGGGCGUGCUGCGGGUUCCGGCCGUUAAAAAGCCUCUAAUACCCAAGGUUGACCUCGGAUCAGGUAGGAAGACCCGCUGAACUUAAGCAUACAAUAAGCGGAGGA
rnacentral:misc_RNA from 1 species